GGAGAGUUGUCCGAGUGGUUGAAGGAGCACGCCUGGAAAGUGUGUAUAUGGGAAACUGUAUCAAGAGUUCGAAUCUCUUACUCUCCG
rnacentral:tRNA from 1 species